rnacentral:rRNA from 1 species
GACGAACGCUGGCGGCGCGCCUAACACAUGCGAGUCGAACGAGCGAGAGAGAGCUUGCUUUCUCGAGCGAGUGGCGAACGGGUGAGUAACGCGUGAGGAACCUGCCUCAAAGAGGGGGACAACAGUUGGAAACGACUGCUAAUACCGCAUAAGCCCACGGUGCCGCAUGGCACAGAGGGAAAAGGAGCAAUCCGCUUUGAGAUGGCCUCGCGUCCGAUUAGCUAGUUGGUGAGGUAAUGGCCCACCAAGGCGACGAUCGGUAGCCGGACUGAGAGGUUGAACGGCCACAGUGGGACUGAGACACGGCCCAGACUCCUACGGGAGGCAGCAGUGGGGAAUAUUGCACAAUGGGGGAAACCCUGAUGCAGCGACGCCGCGUGGAGGAAGAAGGUCUUCGGAUUGUAAACUCCUGUUGUUGGGGAAGAUAAUGACGGUACCCAACAAGGAAGUGACGGCUAACUACGUG